rnacentral:rRNA from 1 species
UGGGGGAUAUUGCACAAUGGGGGAAACCCUGAUGCAGCGACGCCGCGUGAGGGAAGAAGGUUUUCGGAUUGUAAACCUCUGUCCUCGGUGAAGAUAAUGACGGUAGCCGAGGAGGAAGCUCCGGCUAACUACGUGCCAGCAGCCGCGGUAAUACGUAGGGAGCAAGCGUUGUCCGGAAUUACUGGGUGUAAAGGGUGCGUAGGCGGGAGAUAAAGUCAGGCGUGAAAGGUGAGGGCUCAACCCUUAGAGUGCGCUUGAAACUUAUCUUCUUGAGUGAAGUAGAGGUAGGCGGAAUUCCCGGUGUAGCGGUGAAAUGCGUAGAGAUCGGGAGGAACACCAGUGGCGAAGGCGGCCUACUGGACUUUAACUGACGCUGAGGCACGAAAGCGUGGGGAGCAAACA